rnacentral:rRNA from 1 species
UACGUAGGGUGCAAGCGUUGUCCGGAAUUAUUGGGCGUAAAGAGCUCGUAGGCGGUCUGUCGCGUCGGCUGUGAAAACUCGGGGCUCAACUCCGAGCUUGCAGUCGAUACGGGCAGGCUAGAGUUCGGCAGGGGAGACUGGAAUUCCUGGUGUAGCGGUGAAAUGCGCAGAUAUCAGGAGGAACACCAAUGGCGAAGGCAGCUCGCUGGGACGGUACUGACGCUGAGGUGCGAAAGCGUGGGGAGCAAACAGG